CCCUUAGAUGUCCUGGGCCGCACGCGUGCUACACUGAUAUUGCCAAUAUGUCAUUCUUAUCCGAAAUGGAUUGGGUAAUCAAGUAAUGAAAUUUCAUGCUUGGAAUCGGUAAUUGCAAUUUUAUCGUGAACGAGGAAUUCCUAGUAAGCACUAGUCAUCAGCUAAUGUUGAUUAUGUCCCUGCCCUUUGUACACACCGCCCGUCGCUACUACUGAUUGGGUGUUCAAGUGAGAUGCUUAGACCCUUGUUGCAUGGUUCAUUAUUGUGCUCCGAAAGGAAAAAGUUUCAAGCUUGAGUGUCUAGAGGAAGUAAAAGUCGUAACA
rnacentral:rRNA from 1 species